GACGAACCGUGCGAACGUUAUUCGGAAUCACUGGGCUUAAAGCGCGUGUAGGCGGAUGGGGACGUCGGUCGCUGAAAUCCCCCGGCUCAACCGGGGAACGGACGCCGAAACGCCCCGUCUGGAGGGACGUAGGGGGACCUGGAACUUCCGGUGGAGCGGUGAAAUGCGUUGAGAUCGGAAGGAACGCCCGUGGCGAAAGCGAGGUCCUGGACGUCUUCUGACGCUGAGACGCGAAAGCUAGGGGAGCGAACGGA
rnacentral:rRNA from 1 species